UGGGGAAUAUUGGACAAUGGGCGCAAGCCUGAUCCAGCCAUGCCGCGUGGGUGAAGAAGGCCUUCGGGUUGUAAAGCCCUUUUGUCCGGAAAGAAAAGCUUCGGGUUAAUACCCCGGGGUCCUGACGGUACCGGAAGAAUAAGCACCGGCUAACUUCGUGCCAGCAGCCGCGGUAAUACGAAGGGUGCAAGCGUUACUCGGAAUUACUGGGCGUAAAGCGUGCGUAGGUGGUCUGUUAAGUCUGAUGUGAAAGCCCUGGGCUCAACCUGGGAAUUGCAUUGGAUACUGGCAGGCUAGAGUGCGGUAGAGGGUAGUGGAAUUCCCGGUGUAGCAGUGAAGUGCGUAGAGAUCGGGAGGAACACCAGUGGCGAAGGCGACUACCUGGACCAGCACUGACACUGAGGCACGAAAGCGUGGGGAGCAGAC
rnacentral:rRNA from 1 species